rnacentral:rRNA from 1 species
GAUGAACGCUGGCGGCGUGCCUAAUACAUGCAAGUCGAGCGAACAGACGAGGAGCUUGCUCCUCUGACGUUAGCGGCGGACGGGUGAGUAACACGUGGAUAACCUACCUAUACGACUGGGAUAACUUCGGGAAACCGGAGCUAAUACCGGAUAAUAUAUUGAACCGCAUGGUUCAAUAGUGAAAGACGGUUUUGCUGUCACUUAUAGAUGGAUCCGCGCCGCAUUAGCUAGUUGGUAAGAUAACGGCUUACCAAGGCGACGAUGCGUAGCCGACCUGAGAGGGUGAUCGGCCACACUGGAACUGAGACACGGUCCAGACUCCUACGGGAGGCAGCAGUAGGGAAUCUUCCGCAAUGGGCGAAAGCCUGACGGAGCAACGCCGCGUGAGUGAUGAAGGUCUUCGGAUCGUAAAACUCUGUUAUUAGGGAAGAACAAAUGUGUAAGUAACUAUGCACGUCUUGACGGUACCUAAUCAGAAAGCCACGGCUAACUACGUG